UUUCUUUAUAAACAUGCUCCUGCAUAUAUGAACAUCCUAAACAAAACUAAAUGCUUACUAAACAAUCCAUUCCAUUUAAAAAAUAUUCAGUAUGAUUCCUGCCAAACAGUCACAAACUUCAAGCUCUUCACAAUGAAAAAGCAACACCAUAUGAGGUGAGACAUUAACAACAACAAAACAAAACAACAAAAGGCAACAGGUAACUGGGAGAGGCAAGGCUGAUUUAUUUACAGGCUAUUGAUCAUUUCAUGCCAAAGGCAAAAGAACGUGCUUUAUAAAAAUGUAUACAAGUGAACUUUGUGAUUCUAUUCCAAAUAGGAAAGCAAAACAGAAAAAAAAUAAAAACCUCUGUUUUUCAAAUUUAUCCCACACAUUCCUACGUUUUCUCGCUAUAGCCUAUGACUUAUUGAUUAUUAUUGAUCCUUCUGAUCUGAGGCGUGUCCGCCAUCCGCCAUGUUCUCCUGCGACGUCACCAAACGGGAAGUGAACUCGUUAUUCUCCAUUCGCUGCCUGGCUGCUGAACGGGAGGCUCGCGGAUCAAAACAACUUUUCCUCUUGUCUUCUUCCUCCUCGCGGACCAUGGACGGGAAUCAGUGUUUACUUCAUCUCUCAGCUGCUCUGCGAACAUGAGCACCUCCAACCUGUCAACAGUGGAUGGCACUGAUAGGCUGUGUGUUUCUGAGCGUGUUC